rnacentral:rRNA from 1 species
UCCUACGGGAGGCAGCAGUGGGGAAUAUUGCACAAUGGGCGAAAGCCUGAUGCAGCGACGCCGCGUGAGGGAUGACGGCCUUCGGGUUGUAAACCUCUUUCAGUAGGGAAGAAGCGAAAGUGACGGUACCUGCAGAAGAAGCACCGGCUAACUACGUGCCAGCAGCCGCGGUAAUACGUAGGGUGCGAGCGUUAUCCGGAAUUAUUGGGCGUAAAGAGCUCGUAGGCGGUUUGUCGCGUCUGUCGUGAAAGUCCGGGGCUUAACCCCGGAUCUGCGGUGGGUACGGGCAGACUAGAGUGCAGUAGGGGAGACUGGAAUUCCUGGUGUAGCGGUGGAAUGCGCAGAUAUCAGGAGGAACACCGAUGGCGAAGGCAGGUCUCUGGGCUGUAACUGACGCUGAGGAGCGAAAGCAUGGGGAGCGAACAGGAUUAGAUACCCUGGUAGUCCAUGCCGUAAACGUUGGGCACUAGGUGUGGGGACCAUUCCACGGUUUCCGCGCCGCAGCUAACGCAUUAAGUGCCCCGCCUGGGGAGUACCGCCGCAAGGCUUAAAACUCAAAUGAAUUGACGGAA